rnacentral:rRNA from 1 species
CAUAGGUUAAUGAGGCGAACCGGGGGAACUGAAACAUCUAAGUACCCCGAGGAAAAGAAAUCAACCGAGAUUCCCCCAGUAGCGGCGAGCGAACGGGGAGCAGCCCAGAGCCUGAAUCAGUGUGUGUGUUAGUGGAAGCGUCUGGAAAGGCGCGCGAUACAGGGUGACAGCCCCGUACACAAAAAUGCACAUACUGUGAGCUCGAUGAGUAGGGCGGGACACGUGGUAUCCUGUCUGAAUAUGGGGGGACCAUCCUCCAAGGCUAAAUACUCCUGACUGACCGAUAGUGAACCAGUACCGUGAGGGAAAGGCGAAAAGAACCCCGGCGAGGGGAGUGAAAAAGAACCUGAAACCGUGUACGUACAAGCAGUGGGAGCACGCUUAGGCGUGUGACUGCGUACCUUUUGUAUAAUGGGUCAGCGACUUAUAUUCUGUAGCAAGGUUAACCGAAUAGGGGAGCCGAAGGGAAACCGAGUCUUAACUGGGCGUUAAGUUGCAGGGUAUAGACCCGAAACCCGGUGAUCUAGCCAUGGGCAGGUUGAAGGUUGGGUAACACUAACUGGAGGACCGAACCGACUAAUGUUGAAAAAUUAGCGGAUGACUUGUGGCUGGGGGUGAAAGGCCAAUCAAACCGGGAGAUAGCUGGUUCUCCCCGAAAGCUAUUUAGGUAGCGCCUCGUGAAUUCAUCUCCGGGGGUAGAGCACUGUUUCGGCAAGGGGGUCAUCCCGACUUACCAACCCGAUGCAAACUGCGAAUACCGGAGAAUGUUAUCACGGGAGACACACGGCGGGUGCUAACGUCCGUCGUGAAGAGGGAAACAACCCAGACCGCCAGCUAAGGUCCCAAAGUCAUGGUUAAGUGGGAAACGAUGUGGGAAGGCCCAGACAGCCAGGAUGUUGGCUUAGAAGCAGCCAUCAUUUAAAGAAAGCGUAAUAGCUCACUGGUCGAGUCGGCCUGCGCGGAAGAUGUAACGGGGCUAAACCAUGCACCGAAGCUGCGGCAGCGACGCUGAUGCGUUGUUGGGUAGGGGAGCGUUCUGUAAGCCUGCGAAGGUGUGCUGUGAGGCAUGCUGGAGGUAUCAGAAGUGCGAAUGCUGACAUAAGUAACGAUAAAGCGGGUGAAAAGCCCGCUCGCCGGAAGACCAAGGGUUCCUGUCCAACGUUAAUCGGGGCAGGGUGAGUCGACCCCUAAGGCGAGGCCGAAAGGCGUAGUCGAUGGGAAACAGGUUAAUAUUCCUGUACUUGGUGUUACUGCGAAGGGGGGACGGAGAAGGCUAUGUUGGCCGGGCGACGGUUGUCCCGGUUUAAGCGUGUAGGCUGGUUUUCCAGGCAAAUCCGGAAAAU